CAAAUCAACAACAUCCUGUUCUUUUGUGAGGCUCCGGGCGCCUGCCAGGCGGAGGCAGCUCACAGGCUCUUAAAGCGAUAGCCGCCCCGCCGCCCGUGAAAAGAGGCGGGGUGCGGGAACCUGGAGGAGGGCGACUAGGCUGGGGGGAUGGGGGAGAGGAGGAUGGGGGAAGGGGAGAGAGAGAGCAGGCCUCCACCCUGGCUCCCUUCCCCCCAGCCACGGCUCCACCCCGGGCGGCAAGGAGGAGCCGGGGGCACAGCCGGAAUGCGGAGAAUGACCGGAGGGGGCUCCGCCUGACCUCCCCACCCGCCCCCUUUCGCACGAGCAUCUGCUCCGAAAACUUAAUGAGUGCUACAGACUGAUAUUUACAAUGCCAUCGGAGGCUUUUGCUGAACAUCGUUCUGAGGGCAUCAUUGGACCUACAGUAGAUGAAGAAACUGAAGAGGACCAAGGCCCCCAAAAGAAUAGGAUAUCAAGAAUUUAUAUGACCAAACAAGAGAUAGAGAACAUUAUGAAAUGCAAAAUGAAUGAUUUUAAUUAUAUUAAGUUAAAAAGGUUUUGCACAAACCAAACCAAACAAUCAAGAUUAGGAGGAAAGCAGAAAGCUUGAAAAUAAUGUUUAUAGCCCGUGUUUCUGAUAAAGGCUUCAUUCCUCAAAUAUAUAGAGAACUCAAUCAAAUUUAUAAGAAUACAAGUCAUUCCCUAAUUGAGAAAUGGUCAAAGGAUAUGAACAAGAAGUUUUCAGAUGAAGAAAUCAAAGCUAUCUAUAGUCAUAUAAAAAAUGUGCUAAAUCACUAUUGGCUAGAGAAAUGCAAAUUAAAAUAACUCUGAGGUACCACCUCACACCUAUCAGAUUGGCUAAUAUGACAGAAAAGGAAAAUGACAAAUGUUGUAGGGGAUGUGGGAAAAUUGGUGCACUAAUGCAUUGUUGGUAGAGUUGUGAACUGACCUAACCAUUCUGAAGAACAAUUUGGAACUAUGUCCAAAGGGCUAUAAAACUGUGUAUACCCUUUGAUCCAGCAAUACCACUAUUAGGUCUGUAUCCCAAAGAGAUCAAAAAGAGAGAGAGAGAGAGAGAGAGAGAGAGAGAGAGAGAGAGAGAGAGAGAGAGAGAGAGAGAGAGAGAGAGAGAAAAGGAUGCUCAUGUACAAAAAUAUUUCUAGGAGCUCUUUUUGUGGGAAUGGCUGAACAAGUUGUGGUAUACCAAUGUAAUAGAAUACUAUUGUGCUAUAAGAAACGAUGAGCAGAUGGAUUUCAGAAAAACCUGGAAAAACUUAUAUGGACUGAUGCUGAGUGAAGCGAGAAGAACCAAAAGAACACUGUACACAGUAACAGCAACAUUGUAUGAUGAUCAACUUUGAUAGACUUAGCUCUUCUCAGCAAUAAAAUGAUCUAAGACAUCUCCA
rnacentral:lncRNA from 1 species